GGUUGGCGACGGACAGGCCCCUCGCCAACCCGGUCAGGUCCGGAAGGAAGCAGCCGUAACGGGGUUAGCUUGGGUCGCCCGCCGGCCUCC
rnacentral:SRP_RNA from 1 species